GCCGGGCGUGGUGGCGCAUGCCUGUAAUCCCAGCUCCUCAGGAGGCUGAGGCACAAGAAUCGCUUGAACCCGGGAAGGGGAGGUUGCAGUGAGCCGAGAUCGUGCCACUGCACUCCAGCCUGGGUAACAGAGCGAGAGUCAGUCUCAA
rnacentral:SRP_RNA from 1 species